rnacentral:misc_RNA from 1 species
UAACGCGAAGAACCUUACCUAAGCUUGACAUCCUUUUGACCGAUGCCUAAUCGCAUCUUUCCCUUCGGGGACAGAAGUGACAGGUGGUGCAUGGUUGUCGUCAGCUCGUGUCGUGAGAUGUUGGGUUAAGUCCCGCAACGAGCGCAACCCUUGCCUUUAGUUGCCAGCAUUAAGUUGGGCACUCUAGAGGGACUGCCAGGGAUAACCUGGAGGAAGGUGGGGAUGACGUCAAAUCAUCAUGCCCCUUAUGCUUAGGGCUACACACGUGCUACAAUGGGUGGUACAGAGGGCAGCCAAGUCGUGAGGCCGAGCUAAUCCCUUAAAGCCAUUCUCAGUUCGGAUUGUAGGCUGAAACUCGCCUACAUGAAGCUGGAGUUACUAGUAAUCGCAGAUCAGAAUGCUGCGGUGAAUGCGUUCCCGGGUCUUGUACACACCGA